GAGUCGAUUCAAGAUUUGCUUUUGUUUGAUCAGUAUUGCCUUUCUGAUAUCCACUUAGGGUUGUAGCCUGCUUCGAUUGUAAAAAGGGUUUGGAAGGAUGGUAUGUUAAUUUGAUUCUUGUACAGUGGAAUAUUGGUUAGGUUGGUAUUGGACUAUCUGCUGGUAUCAGUAUGGUUGUGCAAGUGACGAUAUCAGACAGGGACAUCAGCACCUCCAAUGGAGAAUGAUGAUUUGUCUUUGGGAAUCUCUCUGAUGCACAAGCAUAUUGCUUGAUAUACUUUCACUGUUAAUAUGAAAAUUAGGUUAAUUUUCACAUUAUUUUUCAAAUAAUGUUUCUUAGCCUCUGCAUUUGUGUGCAAUUUAGCAUAUGCAACAUGGUAAUUAUUGAUUUUCAAAAUCAUUUUUUCACAUCAAAAUGUACAUUUGUGGGCUAUUUUUAGUUUUGGAAGUUGUUUUUCACCCUUUUUGUUGCUUUGCUUAAGUGGGUUUUUCUUAAUCUGUGAAGCAUUUGAUGAGCACCUAAAACAGAUACCAUGGUGUGCCAAUGAUGCAUUUAAAUGCACGUAUUAUCAGAGAUCAAGAAUGAUGAUACACCAUUGUCACUACCUCUGAGGCAUAACCAUCUGUACUUGCAAUCAGACCAAGACUUUUUUUAUAAAAUAAUUUCCUUUUCUGCCUAAAAAUUCUAGGCAUUAUUUCUUCUGAUUGAUGAUGCUUGCCGGUUUUCACUUGGGUGAUUUGAGGCAUGGAUGAUUUUGAAAUUGUUAAAGGUUUCAUGAGAAUUAUGCUGAUUUUAAUGUUGGAUUUCAAGCAAAGUUUUGAGAAGAGGCCUGAUGAUUGUUAACAUAAGAACGGAAAUUUGAAUGGUGCUCUUUGUAGUAGCCUGACCGGAAAUUGGGCUCCAAAAGAAUCAUAUGUAAUAAACUGUUCUAUAUGGAAUAUGAAGGCUCAAAUUUCUACUUUUCA